GUCAGGAAUACAAGUGGCAUGCCCAGAGUUGGAAAUCCCUGCAUUGCCAGGAGCACAGAAGACAGCAUCACAAGAGGGAGAUCGUUGCAAUGCAUAACAAAGUGCAUGUUCUCUUCCCCCUCCACCAAUAACCAACACAAUCACUCUCUCUUCAGAAGCACCGUUUCCAUGGGCAUUAAUCGAAACUGACGGCUCUGAUUUUUGGGAAACACACUUAAACACGGAGGAAAACGACCUAUAGCCCUUUAUUACAUGGCGGAAAUAACAAUGAUUUUUGCUGUGACUGGAAAUCAAGGGCCCCGGAAAGAAGAAAGAAGAAGAGGAGUUGCCAAAGAAGCAAGAGAGACUGUUUGAUAAUGGCAAAGAGUUGGCGUUGGUGGAGUUGCCAUUGAGUUUCAGAGAAGGUAUCCGGUUUACAGUAACACAAGACAUCUCUAUUUUGUCCUCAAAAAAUACCCCCUGGAAUCCCAAGAAUUCUCAGCUCUGGCACUAGAAUUUGGAGGACGAGAAGGAAAAAGAAAGACAUGGAUUUUUAGGCUGUCGUCUAAGGCCUUUUAUGGACAAAACCUCCAGAAAGGAGCAGUGACGAGUGAGGGAGUGACGAGUAUGCAUAAAAGGGAGGAGAA
rnacentral:misc_RNA from 1 species